AUACGGAGGAUCCGAGCGUUAUCCGGAUUUAUUGGGUUUAAAGGGUGCGUAGGUGGUUUGAUAAGUCAGCGGUGAAAGUUUGCAGCUUAACUGUAACAAUGCCGUUGAAACUGUCGGACUUGAGUGUAAAUGAGGUAGGCGGAAUGCGUGGUGUAGCGGUGAAAUGCAUAGAUAUCACGCAGAACUCCGAUUGCGAAGGCAGCUUACUAAGCUACAACUGACACUGAAGCACGAAAGCGUGGGGAUCAAACAGGAUUAGAUACCCUGGUAGUCCACGCAGUAAACGAUGAUUACUAGCUGUUUGCGAUACACAGUAAGCGGCACAGCGAAAGCGUUAAGUAAUCCACCUGGGGAGUACGCCGGCAACGGUGAAACUCAAAUGAAUUGGCGGGG
rnacentral:rRNA from 1 species